rnacentral:rRNA from 1 species
ACGAACGCUGGCGGCGUGCCUAAUACAUGCAAGUAGAACGCUGAAGAGAGGAGCUUGCUCUUCUUGGAUGAGUUGCGAACGGGUGAGUAACGCGUAGGUAACCUGCCUUGUAGCGGGGGAUAACUAUUGGAAACGAUAGCUAAUACCGCAUAACAAUGGAUGACACAUGUCAUUUAUUUGAAAGGGGCAAUUGCUCCACUACAAGAUGGACCUGCGUUGUAUUAGCUAGUAGGUGAGGUAAUGGCUCACCUAGGCGACGAUACAUAGCCGACCUGAGAGGGUGAUCGGCCACACUGGGACUGAGACACGGCCCAGACUCCUACGGGAGGCAGCAGUAGGGAAUCUUCGGCAAUGGGGGCAACCCUGACCGAGCAACGCCGCGUGAGUGAAGAAGGUUUUCGGAUCGUAAAGCUCUGUUGUAAGUCAAGAACGGGUGUGAGAGUGGAAAGUUCACACUAUGACGGUAGCUUACCAGAAAGGGACGGCUAACUACGUGCCAGCAGCCGCGGUAAUACGUAGGUCCCGAGCGUUGUCCGGAUUUAUUGGGCGUAAAGCGAGCGCAGGCGGUUUGAUAAGUCUGAAGUUAAAGGCUGUGGCUCAACCAUAGUUCGCUUUGGAAACUGUCAAACUUGAGUGCAGAAGGGGAGAGUGGAAUUCCAUGUGUAGCGGUGAAAUGCGUAGAUAUAUGGAGGAACACCGGUGGCGAAAGCGGCUCUCUGGUCUGUAACUGACGCUGAGGCUCGAAAGCGUGGGGAGCGAACAGGAUUAGAUACCCUGGUAGUCCACGCCGUAAACGAUGAGUGCUAGGUGUUGGAUCCUUUCCGGGAUUCAGUGCCGCAGCUAACGCAUUAAGCACUCCGCCUGGGGAGUACGACCGCAAGGUUGAAACUCAAAGGAAUUGACGGGGGCCCGCACAAGCGGUGGAGCAUGUGGUUUAAUUCGAAGCAACGCGAAGAACCUUACCAGGUCUUGACAUCCCGAUGCUAUUUCUAGAGAUAGAAAGUUACUUCGGUACAUCGGUGACAGGUGGUGCAUGGUUGUCGUCAGCUCGUGUCGUGAGAUGUUGGGUUAAGUCCCGCAACGAGCGCAACCCCUAUUGUUAGUUGCCAUCAUUCAGUUGGGCACUCUAGCGAGACUGCCGGUAAUAAACCGGAGGAAGGUGGGGAUGACGUCAAAUCAUCAUGCCCCUUAUGACCUGGGCUACACACGUGCUACAAUGGUUGGUACAACGAGUUGCGAGUCGGUGACGGCGAGCUAAUCUCUUAAAGCCAAUCUCAGUUCGGAUUGUAGGCUGCAACUCGCCUACAUGAAGUCGGAAUCGCUAGUAAUCGCGGAUCAGCACGCCGCGGUGAAUACGUUCCCGGGCCUUGUACACACCGCCCGUCACACCACGAGAGUUUGUAACACCCGAAGUCGGUGAGGUAACCUUUUGGAGCCAGCCGCCUAAGGUGGGACAGAUGAUUGGGGUG